rnacentral:rRNA from 1 species
GACGAACGCUGGCGGCGUGCUUAACACAUGCAAGUCGAACGGAAAGGCCCUGCUUGCAGGGUGCUCGAGUGGCGAACGGGUGAGUAACACGUGGGUGAUCUGCCCCUUACUUUGGGAUAAGCCUGGGAAACUGGGUCUAAUACUGGAUAGGACCAUGCUGUAGGUGGUGUGGUGGAAAGAUUAGUUUCGGUAAGGGAUGAGCUCGCGGCCUAUCAGCUUGUUGGUGGGGUAAUGGCCUACCAAGGCGUCGACGGGUAGCCGGCCUGAGAGGGUGGACGGCCACAUUGGGACUGAGAUACGGCCCAGACUCCUACGGGAGGCAGCAGUGGGGAAUAUUGCACAAUGGGCGCAAGCCUGAUGCAGCGACGCCGCGUGGGGGAUGACGGCCUUCGGGUUGUAAACUCCUUUCAGCCAUGACGAAGCCCUUGUGGUGACGGUAGUGGUAGAAGAAGCACCGGCUAACUACGUGC